rnacentral:rRNA from 1 species
UACGAAGGGGGCUAGCGUUGCUCGGAAUCACUGGGCGUAAAGCGCACGUAGGCGGAUUGUUAAGUCAGGGGUGAAAUCCUGGAGCUCAACUCCAGAACUGCCUUUGAUACUGGCGAUCUUGAGUCCGGGAGAGGUGAGUGGAACUGCGAGUGUAGAGGUGAAAUUCGUAGAUAUUCGCAAGAACACCAAGUGGCGAAGGCGGCUCAACUGGCCCGGAUACGUACGCUGAGGUGCGAAAGCGUGGGGAG